rnacentral:rRNA from 1 species
GAUGAACGCUGGCGGCGUGCCUAAUACAUGCAAGUCGAGCGAACAGACGAGGAGCUUGCUCCUCUGACGUUAGCGGCGGACGGGUGAGUAACACGUGGAUAACCUACCUAUAAGACUGGGAUAACUUCGGGAAACCGGAGCUAAUACCGGAUAACAUGUUGAACCGCAUGGUUCAACAGUGAAAGACGGUCUUGCUGUCACUUAUAGAUGGAUCCGCGCCGCAUUAGCUAGUUGGUAAGGUAACGGCUUACCAAGGCAACGAUGCGUAGCCGACCUGAGAGGGUGAUCGGCCACACUGGAACUGAGACACGGUCCAGACUCCUACGGGAGGCAGCAGUAGGGAAUCUUCCGCAAUGGGCGAAAGCCUGACGGAGCAACGCCGCGUGAGUGAAGAAGGUCUUCGGAUCGUAAAACUCUGUUAUUAGGGAAGAAAAAAUGUGUAAGUAACUAUGCACGUCUUGACGGUACCUAAUCAGAAAGCCACGGCUAACUACGUG